rnacentral:rRNA from 1 species
AGUAAUAGGUAUGCUUUAGGAGGGGCUUGCGCCAUAUUAGUUAGUUGGUAGGGUAAUGGCCUACCAAGACGAUGAUGUGUAGCUGGACUGAGAGGUUGAACAGCCACAUUGGGACUGAGACACGGCCCAAACUCCUACGGGAGGCAGCAGUAGGGAAUUUUCGGCAAUGGAGGAAACUCUGACCGAGCAACGCCGCGUGAAUGACGAAGUACUUCGGUAUGUAAAGUUCUUUUAUCAAGGAAGAAAAGCAAAUGGCGAACCAUUUGUUUGCCGGUACUUGAUGAAUAAGCCCCGGCUAAUUAUGUGCCAGCAGCCGCGGUAAGACAUAAGGGGCAAGUGUUAUCCGGAAUUAUUGGGCGUAAAGGGUGCGUAGGCGGUCUAGUAAGUCAGUGGUGUAAUGGCAACGCUUAACGUUGUCCGGCUAUUGAAACUGCUAAACUUGAGUUAGAUAGAGGCGAGUGGAAUUCCAUGUGUAGCGGUAAAAUGCGUAAAUAUAUGGAGGAACACCAGAGGCGUAGGCGGCUCGCUGGGUCUUAACUGACGCUGAGGCACGAAAGCGUGGGGAGCAAACAGGAUUAGAUACCCUGGUAGUCCACGCCGUAAACGAUGAGUACUAAGUGUCGGUUAAACCGGUACUGAAGUUAACACAUUAAGUACUCCGCCUGAGUAGUACGUACGCAAGUAUGAAACUUAAAGGAAUUGACGGGACUCCGCACAAGCGGUGGAUCAUGUUGUUUAAUUCGAAGAUACCCGAAAAACCUUACCAGGUCUUGACAUGUUUUUGCAAAAUGAUAGUAAUAUCGUGGAGGUUACCAGAAACACAGGUGGUGCAUGGUUGUCGUCAGCUCGUGUCGUGAGAUGUUAGGUUAAGUCCUAAAACGAGCGAAACCCUUAUCGUUAGUUGCCAGCACGUUAUGGUGGGGACUUUAACGAGACUGCCAAUGAUAAAUUGGAGGAAGGUGAGGAUCACGUCAAAUCAGCAUGCCCCUUAUGACCUGGGCUACAAACGUGAUACAAUGGCUGUUACAAAGGGUAGCUGAAACGCAAGUUCUUGGCCAAUCCCCAAAAACAGUCCCAGUCCGGAUUGAAGUCUGCAACUCGACUUCAUGAAGUUGGAAUCGCUAGUAAUCGCGAAUCAGCAUGUCGCGGUGAAUACGUUCUCGGGGUUUGUACACACCGCCCGUCAA